GACGAACGCUGGCGGCGUGCCUAAUACAUGCAAGUUGAGCGAUGAAGAUUGGUGCUUGCACCAAUUUGAAGAGCAGCGCACGGGUGAGUAACGCGUGGGGAAUCUGCCUUUGAGCGGGGGACAACAUUUGGAAACGAAUGCUAAUACCGCAUAACAACUUUAAACAUAAGUUUUAAGUUUGAAAGAUGCAAUUGCAUCACUCAAAGAUGAUCCCGCGUUGUAUUAGCUAGUUGGUGAGGUAAAGGCUCACCAAGGCGAUGAUACAUAGCCGACCUGAGAGGGUGAGCGGCCACAUUGGGACGGAGACACGGCCCAAACUCCUACGGGAGGCAGCAGUAGGGAAUCUUCGGCAAUGGACGAAAGUCUGACCGAGCAACGCCGCGGGAGUGAAGAAGGUUUUCGGAUCGGAAAACUCUGUUGGUAGAGAAGAACGUUGGUGAGAGUGGAAAGCUCAUCAAGUGACGGUAACUACCCAGAAAGGGACGGCUAACUACGUG
rnacentral:rRNA from 1 species